rnacentral:rRNA from 1 species
CUUUUUUUUUUUGUAAGAAGAGGAGAUAUCACAGUUUCUAUAGGUACACCUGCGGAGUCUCAUUCCCCACACCUAAAAACUUUCCACGUGCACCGUUUACACCCUAUAGUGGGGUGUCUUAUUGCGGCGGCGGGUGCGGGUUAUAAUUGUGGGCGGGUUGGUGGUGAGUGAGCCCCUCUCAAAAAAAAGGCGAACGUUUGGGCUUCGGCCUGAUUUAGUAGUCUUUUUUUCUUUUAAACCCAUUCCUUAAUACUGAAUAUACUGUGGGGACGAAAGUCUCUGCUUUUAACUAGAUAGCAACUUUCAGCAGUGGAUGUCUAGGCUCGCACAUCGAUGAAGAACGCUGCGAACUGCGAUACGUAAUGCGAAUUGCAGGAUUCAGUGAGUCAUCGAAAUUUUGAACGCAUAUUGCACUUCCGGGUUAGUCCUGGAAGUAUGCCUGUAUCAGUGUCCGUACAUUAAACUUGACUUUCUUCCUUCCGUGUAGUCGGUGGAGGAGAUGUCAGAUGUGAAGUGUCUUGCGAUUGGUCUUCGGACCGGCUGCGAGUCCUUUUAAAUGUACUAAACUGAACUUCUCUUUGCUCGAAAAGUGGUGGCGUUGCUGGUUGUGAAGGCUGCUAUUGUGGCAAAUUGGCGACUGGUUUGUCUGCUGCGGCGUUAAUGGAAGAGUGUUCGAUUCGUGGUAUGGUUGGCUUCGGCUGAACAAUGCACUUAUUGGACGUUUUUCCUGCUGUGGCGUGAUGGACUGGUGAACCAUAGCUCGGUGGCUUGGCUUUUGAAUUGGCUUUGCUGUUGCGAAGUAGGGUGGCAGCUUCGGUUGUCGAGGGUCGAUCCAUUUGGGAACUUAAUGUGUACUUCGGUAUGCAUCUCAAUGGACCUGAUAUCAGGCAAGAAGCCCACUCAC